UACGGGGGGGGGCAAGCGUUGUUCGGAAUUACUGGGCGUAAAGGGCGCGUAGGCGGUUUGCUAAGUUGGAUGUGAAAACUCUGGGCUUAACCCAGAGCCUGCAUCCAAAACUGGCAAACUUGAGUACUGGAGGGGAAAGCGGAAUUCCUGGUGUAGCGGUGAAAUGCGUAGAUAUCAGGAGGAACACCGGUGGCGAAGGCGGCUUCUGGACAGUAACUGACGCUGGAGGCGACGAAAGCCUAGGGGAGCAAACAGG
rnacentral:rRNA from 1 species